rnacentral:rRNA from 1 species
AUACGGAGGGGGCUAGCGUUGUUCGGAAUUACUGGGCGUAAAGCGCGUGUAGGCGGAUCGUUAAGUCAGGGGUGAAAGCCCGGGGCUCAACCCCGGAACUGCCCUUGAUACUGGCGAUCUAGAGUCCGGAAGAGGUGGGCGGAAUUCCCGGUGUAGAGGUGAAAUUCGUAGAUAUCGGGAGGAACACCAGAGGCGAAGGCGGCUCACUGGUCCGGCACUGACGCUGAGACGCGAAAGCGUGGGGGGCAAACAGGAUUAGAAACCCUAGUAGUCC